rnacentral:misc_RNA from 1 species
GUUUGUUUCCUUAGCAAAUGGAAGGAAUUUUGAAAAAUAAUAAUGAAAAGGGCUGUAAUUUUAGUCUAUGCUAUUCAAGCACACUUGAGUGGUUGUUUUUGUUUUGUAUGUAUUGUUUUAAUUCAGGGAUAGAAAGUUAUGUAAUUGAUUUGCACAUUGAAGGCAUUUGAUGCUAUGUUUAUUGAAGAAAAAUAUUAUAGACGUUAUCAUGCGUUCUAUUGCUGAUGAUAAAUGGGAGUAAAUGAGGUUUCGAAUUUGGUGUUUGCACUUGAUCUUGGAUUGCAAAAAUUGGAAUAUGACAAAUCAAAGGUAUCAGCUCAGUAUAGAGUUACUUUUGAGCUGUUAUCAUUUCUUUUUUGGUCACUGAUAAAUGCUAGGGAAGAGGUGAAAAUAAAUUUUGGGACUUAAUAUUUACAUUUCAUAGAAAUUUGAGUAUUUUUUGGUUUAUGUGACCAUCCAUGCAAGCCUCUAGAGAGGUCUUUAGCCUCACUUCCCCUUCCCUUUUUGAAUUCUCCUAAAGAAAUUAAUAUUUAUUUAUAAUUAAUUGAAUUGUCUGUUUUAUUAAAAUAAUCAAUUUAGAUAAUGUACUUUGAGUUCUAGUUAUUGGUUUGGGCAAUCUUCAAGCUAGAUGUAAUUUGGGUCUUGCUGGAACCUGAGAAAACAACAUUACCAGUGGUUGUUGGCAUAUAUUUUGUCUUUUAUGAGUUAGAAGACGUUAAGAAUCUGUGGGAUAUGCAGCAUGAAGCUCAUAGUUUGUUUCUUUAUUGACCCCGGGUCCCUGUAUACUUCCCAUGUAAAGAAGCUGGAGAGAAUAGUGGACUAAGCUCUAAGUAUGAAUUAGAGUUUUGAAUUUAGAAUAGUUUGUUUUGUCUUAUCAAAAAAAAUUAUUUGUUUAUUAUGGAUUUGAUAAAUGACCUUGAAAUUAACACACCGUUUGGUAGGCAGAGAACAAAAAAUUUGUAUUAUUUGCAAAUGAGUCUUAGUAGAAUCAAUAUACUGAUAUAUAAUAUAUUAUCAUGUUUAGUGCUUAGAACCUAAUUGAAUUCAACCAACAUUAUGUUCAGAACAGAUGAAGAGAUAGUGUGAGAAGUCCCCUACAUGCUACUGGUAUUUAAGGAGUGAGAAAGGGUGACUGAGUUACUGGUAGUUAAGGAGGGUAGGCAAAUGUAAUUAAAUUUAUACUUUGAUUAGUGUGACAUUCAUUUGUGAAUUCCAUAAAUUUUUAUAGGAAUUGUCUCAAGUGGAUUGAUUUCCUUGUAAAUUAAGGAAUUCAAAUAACGAAUUGCAAAUGAGUUCCUGAAAUUGAAUUUCAUAAAAGUUUUGUGAAAUUUACUUUUUCCAUACACUCUAUUGGGCAUAUUUUAGUCAAGUAUGGGCUUACUUUUUGAUUUUUAUUUGAUUUACUUAUCUGGUGAUCAAGCAUAGUCCUAUUCAGCUAUUCUGAUAGAAGUGACUUUUAAACCUAGGCCUAACUCAAUCUUAUGUGUGACU